GACGAACGCUGGCGGCGUGCCUAACACAUGCAAGUCGAACGGAGAUAUGAUUUCGGUUGUAUCUUAGUGGCGAACGGGUGAGUAACGCGUGAGCAACCUGACUCUUAGAGGGGGAUAACACUCGGAAAGGGGUGCUAAUACCGCAUAAGACCACGACAUGGCAUCAUGACGAGGUCAAAGGAGCAAUCCGCUGAGAGAGGGGCUCGCGUCCCAUUAGAUAGAUGGCGGGGUAACGGCCCACCAUGUCGACGAUGGGUAGCCGAGCUGAGAGGCUGAUCGGCCACACUGGAACUGAGACGCGGUCCAGACUCCUACGGGAGGCAGCAGUGGGGAAUAUUGGGCAAUGGGCGCAAGCCUGACCCAGCAACGCCGCGUGAGGGAAGAAGGCUUUCGGGUUGUAAACCUCUGUCCUUGGUGACGAAAAAAAUGACGGUAGCCAAGGAGGAAGCCCCGGCUAACUACGUGCCAGCCGCCGCAGUAAAAC
rnacentral:rRNA from 1 species